AAGUUAAUUAAUUUAAAUUAAAAUAUUUAUUUUGAAAAUAAAAUCUAGAUUAAAUUCUAUUAACUUU
rnacentral:tRNA from 1 species